rnacentral:rRNA from 1 species
ACUCAAAUGAAUUGACGGGGGCCCGCACAAGCGGUGGAGCAUGUGGUUUAAUUCGACGCAACGCGAAGAACCUUACCUACUCUUGACAUCCUAGGAAUCUAGUAGAGAUAUUGGAGUGCCCGCGAGGGAGCCUAGAGACAGGUGCUGCAUGGCUGUCGUCAGCUCGUGUCGUGAGAUGUUGGGUUAAGUCCCGUAACGAGCGCAACCCUUAUCCUUAGUUGCUAACAGGUAAAGCUGAGCACUUUAAGGAGACUGCCGGUGAUAAGCCGGAGGAAGGUGGGGAUGACGUCAAGUCCUCAUGGCCCUUACGAGUAGGGCUACACACGUGCUACAAUGGCCGGUACAGAGGGAAGCGAAGCUGUGAGGUGAAGCGAAUCUCAGAAAGCCGGUCGUAGUCCGGAUUGGAGUCUGCAACUCGACUCCAUGAAGUUGGAAUCGCUAGUAAUCGCGGAUCAGAACGCCGCGGUGAAUACGUUCUCGGGCCUUGUACACACCGCCCGU